GGGCAGGUAGCUCAGUUGGUAGAGCAACGGACUGAAAAUCCGUGUGUCGGUGGUUCAAGUCCACUUCUGCCCA
rnacentral:tRNA from 1 species